AAACCAUGGUUUUUUUUUACAAGGGUUGGCAUGUUGGUGAACUUAUUAGCUUAGAUUUCACGUUAUUCAUGCCUACAUGAGCUGCAUACAACUGCUCUAAUCGGUAGGAUGUGGACGGACAUUGCAUUCAUUCCCAUUCAGCCGUUGGACUGAACCGGUACUGUAACACAGUAUGGAUGGUCAAUAUGAAGCGAGCUUCAUUGAAUUCUUCCAAGAGCUUUGUACUCCGUUUUGCUCAUUUUGAAGAUGGUAGCUUUGACAGGACUGGGCAAGUGACACGUCUUAGACAGGAUGCUGUCCCAACCAUAUUUGAUUUCCUGCCUCGUCUUCAGAAGAGUUCAUCCAAGCCAAGGAAUUCCCCGAAAGAAAGACGUUUUGAUUCAGCAAACAACCUCCCAGAUACUGCAAAGUCUUCAGCACCUUCAUUUCUCGAGGACCACUCCUACUCAAUAUCAGAAAGUCCAAGAGGGGUAAAGUGGAAGAUAACAGCAAUAAUGGACUAUUAAAAACUUGGAGAAGAGGCUGAAACCACACAGCAGAAGUCCCGCCGUGUACAUUACUUGCUCUUAAGUUUGGACAAACAUGACUCGCAAAACUUUACAACAAAUAAUUUACGCUAUGUGCAUUCUGAUUAUUUAAAAUAGCUCAAUGAAAAAGUUUACCACUGGGCAUGUAACAAAAGUGCAUUCAUUAAAUUUGAACGUGUUGCAAAAA